rnacentral:lncRNA from 1 species
AUAUACUGCUUUUUUAUAUUUAGGAUUUGUUUUUUUUUUUUUCCGAUAAGGAUUUGUUUUUUUAUUUAUAGUUUCAAGUGUUUUGUAUAACCUCAUGUAAAUACUCAGCAAUAAAUGAUCAUCAUUUGUUGCCCAGUUAUUUAUAUAUGCCUCUGUGAGCAUAAAACUGAACUUUGGAUGGAAGUUAUAAGAGAAUUCUUCCUAAAAUGUUUGGGGUGAAAAAAUUGUAUCGAUAUAAUUCAAAGGUAAUAAUUUAUAGCACUCAUAAUUCAAAGGACUCAGAAAUGUAAGUCCAUACUAGCUUUGAAAGGUUUUCUAGGAUAUGUCUUCAUUUAUGGGAAUGAAUAUCUCAAAUGAUUGGUUACCUAUGGGGUCCAGGUAUGCAUAUACUAUAUCUAGAAAGAAUCUAUCUGAAUUUUAUUUGCCUUAAGCCAGACUUAUCUGGUGAGCAUCGAGCAAUCUUGUAAGUUGUUCCUUGAUGACAUUCUCUCACCUCUGCUCUGUCUGGCCAGAGCUUUGUUUUUCUGUCCCCUCAGAGACUCUACUCUCCCUUGAGUACUGACCACCUUAUCAGAUGGUCCUCAGUCUACUUUUCUAGUUUCAUCUGGGCCACUCUUACUUGCCUUUUCACGUGAAUUUUUGCUAUUCUCCUCCAAAUACCUUUGAAUAGGUUGGGUCUUCUACCUGGACUUUCCUUUCUUCUCCUUUUCUGAAACUUAACCUUACUCUAAGACUAUGAAUUCUGACUUCAUAUCCUGAUACAUGUCACUUACUGCAUAUGCCUUGUUGCCUUAAAAAAUUAUGAUAAAAAACACAACAUAAAAUUUACCAUUGUAGCCAUUUUUAGGUGUACAGUUCAGUAGUGUUAAGUUUAUGUACAUUUUUAUGGAUCAGGUUGUCACAACUUUGUCAUCUUUGCACAACUGACAAUGUGCUUAUUAAAUAAUUCUCAUCUCUACUCCAUCCAGUAACUGGUAACUACCAUUCAAGUGUAUGAAUUUGACUACUUUAGAUACCUCAUAUAAGUGGAAUCAUUCAAGAUUUGUCUUUUUUUAAAAGAUUUUAUUUAUUUGAGAGAGAGCACACAUGGGUAUGAAUGGGGGAGGGGCAAAGGGAGAGGGUGCAGCAGACUCCCCACUGAACAGGGAGCCUGACUUGGGGCUUGAUCCCAGGACCCCAAGAUCAUGACCUGAGCCAAAGGCAGACACUUAACCAACUGAGCCUCUCAGGUACUCCAGGAUUUGUCUUUUUGUGACUGGCUAAUGUUACUUUGUAUAAUAUCUUCAAAGUUUUUCUAUUUUGGAGCGUGUGAUAGCAUUUCGUUCUUUUUUAAGGUUGAAAAAUAUUCCAUUGUAGGCACAUACUGCAUUUUGUUUAUCCCUUCAUUUGUCUGUGGGUAUUUGGUUGGCUCUCACCUCAUGGCUAUUGUGGAAAAUGCUGCUAUGAACAUGGGUGUGCAGAUAUUUCUUUGAGAUCCUGCUCUCAAUUCUUUUAAUAUAUACCCAAAAGUGGGAUUGCUGGAUCAUAUAUGGUAAGUCUAUUUUUAAUAUUUUGAGGAACUGCCGUACUAUUUUUUUAUAGUGGUUGUACCAUUUUAUAUUUCUACCAGCAUUAUACAGGUGUUAAAAUGUCUUCACAUCCUAACAUUUAUUGCCUGUUUUUUUUUAAUUGAGGUAUAACUGAUAUAUUGCAUUGUAUUUGUUUCAGGUGUACAACAUGAUUUGAUAUUUGUAUACAUUGUGAAAUGAUCACAGUAAAUCUGGUUACCUUCCAUUGCCAUACAAAGUGACAGAAUUUUUUUUUCUUCUUCUUUUUUGGGUGGUGUCCUUGUCCGGUUUUAGUACUAGGGUAAUGCUAGUCUUAUAACAUGAGUUUGGAAGCAUUCCUUCCUCUUCUUUUUUGGGGAAGAAUUUGAGAAAGAUAGGUUUUAAAUCUUUGAAUGUUUGUUAGAAUUCACCAGUGAAUUGUCUGGUCCUGGACUUUUGUAUGUUGAGAGGUUGGGAGGUUUUUGAUUACUGGUUCAGUCUCCUUACUAUUCUCUAUACAUUUAGUUCCACUCUGAUCUUUGUGAUUUCUUUCUGUUUACUAACUUUUGACUUCAUUUGGUCUUUUUCUAGUUCCUUGGGUAGAAAGUUAGAUUGUUUAUUUGAGAUGUUUCUUUUUUUUUAAUUUUUUAAUUUAUUUAUGAUAGUCACACAGAGAGAGAGGCAGAGACAUAGGCAGAGGGAGAAGCAGGCUCCAUGCUCCAGGAGCCCGACAUGGGAUUCGAUCCCGGGUCUCCAGGAUCACGCCCUGGGCCAAAGGCAGGCGCCAAACCGCUGCGCCACCCAGGGAUCCCAAGAUGUUUGUUUCUUGAUAUAAGCUUGUAUUGCUAUUAACUUCCUUCUCAGAAAUGUUUUUGCUGUCUCCCAUAUAUUUUGGUAUAUUUUCAUUUUCAUCUGUCUCAAUGUAUUUUUUAAUUCCUUCUUUGAUUUCUUUGUUGACUCUGGUUGUUCAGUAGUAUGUUGUUUAAUUGCCACAUAUUUGUGAUUUUUCAUUUUUCUUCUUGUAAUUGAUUUCUAGUUUCACAGCACUGUGGUUGGAAAAGAUGCUUGGUAUAAUUUCAGUCUUCUUAAAUUUAUUAAGACUCGUUUUGUUGCCUAAUGUAAUCUGUCUUGGAGAAUAUUCCAUGUACACUUGAGAAGAAUAUGUAUUCUAUUGCUUUUGGUUGGAAUGUUCUGUAUGUAUAAAGUUCAUCUGGUCUGUUGUGUUGUUUAAGGCCAAUGUUUCCUUAUUAAUUUUCUGUCUAGAGGAUUUAUUCAAUGAUUUAAGUGGGUGUUUACUCCUUACUUUUGUUGUUUACCUGUCAGUUUUUUCCUUUAGGUAUGUUAAUAUUUGCUUUAUAUAUUUAGGUACUCCUAUGUUGGGUGAAUAAAUGUUUACAAAUGUUAUAUUCUCUUAAGGGAUUAACCCCUUUAUCAUUAACUAAUGCUCUUUGUCUUUCAUUAUACUCUUUAUCUUAAAGUCUGUUUUGUCUGACGUAAGGUAUCCCAGCUUUCUUUUGAUUUCCAUUUGCAUGAAGCAUUAUUUUUCAGUCAUUUUGCUUUUAAUCUAUGUGUGUCCUUACCUCUGAAAUGAGUCUUUUAUAGGCAGCAUAUAGAUGGUUUUGAAAAAUUUAAAAAGAAUUUUAAUUUAAAUUCAGUUCAUUAACAUAUAAUCUAUUAUUGGUUUCAAGAGGUGGAGGUCAGUGAUUCAUCAAUCUUACAAAACACUUUGUGCUCAUUGUAUCAUGUGCCCUCCUUAAUGUCUAUCACUCAGUUACUUCAUUCCCUUACCUCUCUCCCCUCCAGCAACCCUCAGUUUGUUUCCUAUGAUUAAGAGUUUCUUAUGGUUUGUCUCCCUCUUUGAUUUUGUCUUGAUUUAUUUUUUUCCUCUCUUCCCCUAUGAUCCUGUUUUGUUUCUUAAAUUCCACAAAUGAAUGAGAUCAUAAUUGUCUUUCUCUGAUUGACUUAGUUCGCAUAGCAUAAUACCCUCUAGUUCAUUCACAUUGUUGCAAAUGGCAAGAUUUCAUUUUUUGACGGCUGAGUAGUAUUCCAUUGUGUGUCUAUCUAUCUAUCUAUCUAUCUAUCUAUCUAUCUAUCUAUCUAUCAUCUAUCUAUCACAUCUUUAUCUGUCCAUGUCAAUGGACAUCUGGGCACUUACCAUAGUUUAGCAGCAAUGUCCACAAUAGCCAUAAGCAAUGGGGUGCAGGUGCCCCUUUAGAUCACUACAUUUAUCUUUGGGGUAAAUUCCCAGUAAUGCAAUUGUUGUGUCAUAGGGUAGCUCUAUUUUCAACUUUUUGGGGAACCUCCAUACUGUUCUCCAGAGUGACUGCACCAGCUUGCAUUCCCACCAACAGUGUAAGAGGGUUCCCGUUUCUCCUCACCAUCACCAACAUCUGUCAUUUCCUGUCUUAUUAAUUUUAGCCAUUCUGACUGGGGUUAGGUGGUAUCUCAUGGUGGUUUUGAUUUGUAUUUCCCUGAUGCUGAGUGAUGUUGAGCAUUUUUUCAUGUGUCUGUUGGCCAAUUGUAUGUCUUCCUUGGAGAAAUAUCUGUUCAUGUCUUCUUCCCAUUUCUUGAUUGGAUUAUUUGUUCUUUGGGUGUUGAAUUGGAUAAAUUCUUUGUUCAUUUUUGCCUUGGUUUCCCUUGCCUUUGGAGACAUGGCUAGCCAGAAGUUGCUGUGGCCAUGAUCAGAUUGCUACCUAUGUUCUGCUCUAGGAUAUUGAUGGAUUCUUGUCUCACAUUUAGGUCUUUCAUACAUGUUGAGUCUAUUUUUGUGUAUGGUGUAAGGAAGUGGUCCAGUUUCAUUCUUCUGUAUGUGACUGUCCAAUUUUCCCAACACCAUUUGUUGAAGAGACUGUCCUUUUUCCAUUGGAUAUUUUUUCCUGCUUUGUCGAAGAUUACUUGACCAUAGAGUUGAGAGUCUAUUUCUGGGUUUUCUCUUCUGUCCCAUUGAUCUUUGUGUCUGUUUUUGUGCCAGUACCAUACUGUCUUGAUGAUUACAGCUUUGUAAUAUAGCUUGAAGUCCAGAAUUGUGAUGCCAGCAGCUUUGAUUUUCUUAGAUGGGUCUUUUUUUUUUUAAAUUUUAUUUUAAUCCAUUCAGCCACUGAAUGGGCUAAGAAUUUAGUCCAUUUACAUUUAAUGUGAUUAUUGAUAGGUAUGCACUUAUUGCUAUUUGUUAAAAGUUUUCUGGUUGUUUUGUAGUUUCUGUUCCUUUCUUCCCUUGCUCUCUUCCUUUGUGGUUUAGUGACUUUCUUUAGUGUUAUGUUUAGAUCCCUUUCUCCUUGUCUUUUAUACUAUCUACUUUAAGUUUUUGCAUAGUGGUUACUAUGAGGCUCACAUAUAAUAGCUAUUUAUAUAGCUGUCUAUUUUAAGUUGAUAGCAACUUAUGUUUGAAUGCAUUCUAAAACUGCAUUUUUACUCCCACUCCACCACAUUUUAUGUUUUUGAUGUCAUAUUUUACAUUUUUUGAUUUUGUAUAUUCCUUAACUGACCUUUGAAAUUAUAAUUAUUCUUACUACUUUCAUCUUUAAACCUUCAUGCUGGCUUUAUAAGUGAUUAGUCUACCUUUAUCAUAUAUUUACCUUUACUAGUGAGGUUUGUACUUUCAUAUGUUUUCUUGUUACUAAUUAGUGUCCUUUUUUCCAGCUUAAAUAAAUCCCUAUAACACUUUUUGUAAGGCUAGUUUAGUGGGAUGAGCUUUAUCUUUUCUUCUUUUGGAAAACUCUUUAUCUCUCCUUUAAAUCUGAAUGAUAACUUUAUCAGGUAGAGAAUUUUUGUUCAGAAAUUUUUUCCUUUUGGUACUUUGAACAUACCAUGCCACUUUCUUCUGGCCAGUAAAGUUUCUGAUAAAAAAUCUUCUAGUAGUCUUAUCAGGCUUCCCUUAUAUAUAACAGGUUUUUCUCUUGUGGUUUUUAGAAUUCUUUCUGUAACCUUUGACAUUUUAAUUAUAUUGUGUCUUGGACCCCUAAAAUGCAAAUGUUAUUCUAUUUAAUUUUGUUCCAUAGGUCCCUUAGGAUAGCUUCACUUUCUAAUUCUUUUUCUUUUUCUUGCUCUGUCUUGGUGAGUUCUACUGCCUUGUCUUCUAGAUCACUGAUCCUUUUCUCUGCUUCAUCCAGUCUGCUGUGUAAUGCCUGUAGUGUGUUUUAUUUCAGUUACUGUAUUCUUCAGCUCCUUGAUUUUGGUCUGAUAUUUCCUUAUACUUUCUAUUGCUUUAAAUUCUCACAUUCAUCUAUUCUCUCCACGCCUCUCGCCCCGUUUGGUGAGCAUCUUUUAUGAUCAUUAGUCUGAACUUCUAAUUGGGCAGCUUACUAAUGUCUGUUUUGUUAAGGUUUUCUUCUAAGGUUUUAUCUUGUUCUUUUGUUUGGAACAUAUUUCUCUGUUUCCUCAUUUUGCUUUACCCUCUGUGUUUGCUUCUAUGUAUUAAGUGAAAUUCUCCCUUUCUUGAAAGAGUUGCCUUGUAUAGAAGAUGAAUGUUAUCAUUUCACCUUGCCCUAACUUUAGAUGGUGGUUAUUUAUUCUUCAUAGGUCCCAAUUGUUGAGGGUGUGCCAAGACUUGCCAGUUUUCCAAAGGGCAGGGUCUCAGUCAGCACCUACUUGUAGGUCGAUUAGAAACCAGACCCUUAGGCAGCAGCUUUUAAAGUGUGCAAAUACAUAUAGUCUUAUGGGGCCACCAUUAUGAACCCUGCUAUCUUCCAGAACAGGUGAUCUGGAAGUGUCUCCUGAGCAACAGCUGGAAAUGUCAGGGCUCCGGAUGAGUGUAUAAGCUCCUUUCUCCCAGAAAGUGUUUAAGCUGCUUUCUGGGAGAUACUGAUGAGGUAUAGUGAGACCAAGGGAGAAUGCAGAUUGUGUCCCUUGGCCUACUUUCCCUGAGAAUGUCUUCACAGUCUAUAAAUGAAUGGCAAAACUGAGGCCUGCCUCUCAGGCUGAAGUUCCAGGACAAGUAAAUAGUCCUUUUUCACAGAUAGACUGGGGAUAUGUUUCAGCUGGCAUCUGUGCACUGCCCUGGGGUGAUAGCUUGUGAAGAAUUGUCUCUGUGAUUGUUACUGUCCCAGGGAACCCAGGAACACAAGCCCUCCUGGCCACUAGGGCCAGGUAAUCAAGGACUGUCCCCUAUAUGGACUGUGUGUGCCUGCUGGCUUUAGCAAGGCAGAGGAAGAACACUACGUGGAAAUGUACCUGCUAGUUUAACAGGGCAAUGAAAGAGUACAGGGACUAUUUGUGCCUCCCAUCACUAACAAGGUAGAGGGAGAGAGCAAAAAUGGCACCCACCAGUGCCUCCAUCUUUACAGAGAUGCCCAAGAGGCCUGUUCCCCUUUGGAAGAUACUUUAAGAUUAGCAAAUGAUCGUCCUGCAGCUAUGAUCUAGGUGACUUUUAAACUGCCGCUUUUAUGCUGGGGCCCAGGUUGAGUGAGUCUUUUUGUGAGCCCUGUGAGAGCAGUAUCUCAGUUCACUACAGCCUUCUGGACAAAAGCCUCCGUGUUGGUUUUCAAAGAGAGACAUUUUGGGGGCUGGAGUCCCCAGUGAAGUCUCAAGGGGUGGGGUGCCUGAUGUGGAGCACAAACACCUUGCUCCUCGGGGAGAAGCUCUGAAUAUGUGAUAUUCUUCCUACUUGUGGGUUGCUAUGCUGCUGUUGGGGUUUUUGGUGAGACUAUAUAUCUGCUUCUCCUAGCUUUCUCUGUGUGACCCUUUUAUUAUUUGUUUUGAAGGAGCUGUUCAGCUAUUUUUAGGUCUUUUUCAGAGGGAAUUUUUCCAUAUAGAGCUAUAUUAGUGUGUCUACAGGAAGCGGUGAGUUCAGGAUCUUCCCGUGCCUCCACCUUGGGACACUCCCCACUUUAAUAGCAGCGACCCUAAUGAGUAUGAGGUGAUCUAUCAUUGUAAUUUCAACUUGCAUUUCCCUAAUGACUAGUGAUGUUGAACAUCUUUUCAUUUGCUUGUGGCCUUUUUUAUUAUCUUGGGAGAAAUAUCUAUUCAAGUCUUUUAUCCAUCUUUUAAUUGGGUUUUUUUUUUCAUUGUUGAUGUGUAGGAGGGCUUUUUAAAAAUAUUCUGAAUAUUAAACUCUUACCAAAUAAAUAAUCUGCAAAUAUCUUCUCCUUUUUCACUGUGCCUUUAUGCUCCGUUGAUUGUGUUGUAUCCUGUGCAAAGUAUGUUUAGGUUUAGUAUGGUUCCAUUUGUUUUUGUGUGUUUUUGCUGCCUGUGCUUUUGGUAUCAUAUCAACAAAUUCAUUGCCAAAUCCACUGUCAUGAAGCUUUACCCCUGUAUUUUCUUUGAGCAAUUUUGGUUUAAAUCUUACUUUUAAGUCUUUAAUCCAUUUUGAGUUAAUUUUUGUGUAAAGUGGAAGUUCCACUUCAUCCUUUCCCAUGCAGAUGUCCUGUUUACCCCAGCUGAAGAGAUUGACAUUUUUUUUUUUUAUUGAAUAGCAUUGGAUCCUUUGUCAAAGAUCCUUUGACCACAUAUCUGAAGGUUUAUUUCUCAGCUCAUUAUUCCGCUCUAUUAGUUGAUAUGUCUUUUUUGCCUAUAAAACACUAAAAAAAAAA